GACGAACGCUGGCGGCGUGCUUAACACAUGCAAGUCGAACGGAAAGGCCCUGCUUGCAGGGUACUCGAGUGGCGAACGGGUGAGUAACACGUGGGUGAACUGCCCUCCACUUCUGGAUAAGCCUGGGGAACUGGGGCUAAUACCGGGUAGGAGCCAUUCUGAGUGUGAUGGGUGGAAGGUUUUUUCGGUGUAGGAUGAGCUCGCGGCCGAUCAGCUUGUUGGUGGGGUAAUGGCCUACCAAGGCGGCGACGGGUAGCCGGCCUGAGAGGGUGGACGGCCACCUUGGGACUGAGAUACGGCCCAGACUCCUACGGGAGGCAGCCGUGGGGAAUAUUGCACAAUGGGCGCAAGCCUGAUGCAGCGACGCCGCGUGGGGGAUGACGGCCUUCGGGUUGUAAAAUCGUUUCGCUAGGGACGAAGGUUUUUGUGACGGUACCUAGAUAAGAAGCACCGGCUAACUACGUG
rnacentral:rRNA from 1 species